GUCUAUGGCCAUACUACCCUGGAGACGCCUAAUCUCAUCUGAUCUCAGAAGCUAAGCAGAGUGAGGCCUGGUUAGUACUUGGAUGGGAGACCGCUUGGGAAUACCAGCUGCCGUAGGCU
ensembl:rRNA 5S_rRNA 5S ribosomal RNA